rnacentral:rRNA from 1 species
AGCGAACACUGGCGGCAGGCCUAACACAUGCAAGUCGAACGGAUCCUUCGGGAUUAGUGGCGGACGGGUGAGUAACACGUGGGAACGUGCCCUUUGGUUCGGAACAACUCAGGGAAACUUGAGCUAAUACCGGAUGUGCCCUUCGGGGGAAAGAUUUAUCGCCAUUGGAGCGGCCCGCGUCUGAUUAGCUAGUUGGUGAGGUAAAGGCUCACCAAGGCGACGAUCAGUAGCUGGUCUGAGAGGAUGAUCAGCCACAUUGGGACUGAGACACGGCCCAAACUCCUGCGGGAGGCAGCGGUGGGGAAUCUUGCGCAAUGGGCGAAAGCCUGACGCAGCCAUGCCGCGUGAAUGAUGAAGGUCUUAGGAUUGUAAAAUUCUUUCACCGGGGACGAUAAUGACGGUACCCGGAGAAGAAGCCCCGGCUAACUUCGUGCCAGCCGCCGCAGUAA